GUAAUCACGAGGGUCCUUAAAAGUGGAAGAGGAAGACAGAAAAAGAGGAUCACAGAAAGAGAUGUGAUGAAGAAGGGUCUGACAUGCUAUGUUGCUGCCUCUGAAGAUGGAAGAAGGGAACCAUGACUCAUGAGAUGUGGUGGCUUCUAGAAGAUGCAAAAGGCAAGGAAAUGGACUCUUCCCCUCGAACCUCCAGAAGAAACACAUUCCUGCCAGCACCUCAAUUUUAACCUGGCAUUGGGUUUUUAACAAAUGGAAGACAAGACCCUCCACCCGCCAAAGAUUACAACUCACUUUGUUGCUAUACUCACUUUAUUACAGUGAUCUGGAACCUAACUUGCAAUAUCUCCAAGGUUUUAAAGCACAUGUGGCUUAUUCUCAACAAAUGCUGGAAAUCAGCAGCAACUUCUGAAAGUCCACCUCUUCUCUACACACCAGUUCUCCAACAGGGUCACAACCAUUGUUCCAAAAGCUCCAUUGGAGCGGUUGAAAUCCAUCUGCCAUUCAUGAGGAUGUUUGACACUCUCAGAUCAAAAAGCAGAGAGUGGAAAUGAAAAAUGGGAAAAAGAAUGGACUACUUACUAGUCUAACCUAAACUCGAUGAUUGGCCUUGAAUAAAGAAGAGUAGACCUACUGGAUCAUUUUACCCACCUGAGCACAACACAUAACAGAAAACCAGCCCAUCAUCUGCCCCAGCUAGACCAAGUGGACGGUGGUGCUGCCUGCCAUCCAGAAAUCUGAACCGUGCACUGAUUACUCCUUUGCGCUCCAAUCCCAUUACCAAACGCUGUUCUGUUCAGGUAAUGUGAGCCCAGCUCUGCUUUUCAGCACCCCUGAAGUCUGCAGCAGUCUGUGAUCAGGACUUAGAGGCUUAACUGUGGCGGUGGAAAGCAGGAUGCACUCCAGACUUUGGAUGAAAUGGCUCAAAUGCUUCUUUUCAUUUAUGUACGACUUUACAUUACAAAGCCCAUCCCAAUCAUCAUUAAUUAAACCUGCCACUCUGCGGUAGGGCUGCAUUAGUCUGCUCAUUUUACAGCUGACAAAACAGAUAGAAAGGCUUAAGGAUUUGCUGAAGUGAAGUGGUGUUCAAUCAAAGGUGCCUGGCCCAAUUCUCUUUCUAGUUCAUUCUUUUUUUUUCACUUGGAAGAGGCCUUCAAAGUGCCCAGUUCUUAACUCCAAGCAGCUUAAGGAAGUCAACUGGGAAAGGUUGCUUGGCAGGGAAACAGCAGCAAUCUAGACCAGAGCAGCAGUAGGGGCUUGAAUUAUCUGAAAAUGACCAAAUCAUAUUCUGCUGAUUCUCAGCGGAUGUUAAAUAUGCACAUGUACAUGUACACACACACACACACACACACACACACACACACACACACACACACACACACACACACUUUCCCCUGUCAGGCCAGGGAACGGGGCCAGGACAUUGAGACAUAGUUGGAAAGUGCUUGAGAGCAAUGCUACAUUUGACCUGGUGGAAAGCAGCCUAUCUACUACCCACACUUUAACACCCUUGUUACCAGAUCCUUUACAUUAUAAUUUUAAACGAACUCAAAAUGAAACAUAUCCCAAGGACAAGCCUGGUCCUAUGUUUGUGGGGCCUGAGGCAAGGGUAAAAAUGGAGGCCCACAUAUCAUAUGUCUAAAUAUUUGAAAAGUGUAACUCUAGCUAACAAGCUAGUUUCCCACCCUGACAGAUGUAUGUUUAUAAUGACUUAGAAAAUCGGUUUGAAUUUCAAAUAUUCUGGCUCCUCAGAGCUCCACAUCAGAAUGCAGUGGUUCACAGACAGCAGUCUUGGCCCGGACUAAUGUCCUUCUUUCCUACCCCGAGGCUGGACCUGCAUCAUGAAGGGCCUCACACACACACAUGAUGAGGAUCCCAGCCCAUUUGUUCAAGCUCUGGCCACAUUACCACCCCCUUUUGCCCACAGCUUGGGCACAACAAUGGCACGGUCCACCCUAAGAAGUAUAGAUAAAAAAAAGAGACCCAGACCAAUCCUGGAAGCAGGGCUUUUGGCAGAAAUUCUGGGGCCUGGAUACCUGGAGUGUGGCCUAAGAGGAGGGCAUGGCUUUGAGUGAAUAAAUCCACCUGGCCUAUGGAUUUCUUGUCCAGUGGGGAGAAUUGAGAGCAAGGAUAGGGUUUUCUAAAGGGAGGGGCCCUUCUUGCCAAGACCUAAGAGCAAAUGAUUAUCUGACCAAGUAAUAAGCCGUAGUAUGAGUUAAUGCUAGAAUUUGCACAAAUCUGGACACCAUAAAUAAUUGCUCAACUACAAAACACAAGAGUAUGAGCUGUUUCAAGCAUUUUGUCUGCUGCCUCUCACAAAUAACUUACUUAUUCUGGGCAGUACGCAUGGUCUCCAGGAGAUAAAUGGACCAGAAACCAAAUGAAUAAUCUUUGUAAUUGAAUAUUUUACUGGAGAGGUUAAGCGCCCAUAGAAAGCCAGAUAAGAAAGCUCUAGGUGGGGAUCCCAGGGUGGGUGCCCUUGCUGUUGCCUCCCUGAAAUGGACCAAGUGGGAGGAAGAAGAGAAGCAUGACUGCCUGGGUGGGCAUGUGCUGCCUUGCUCUUUGUGGAGGGGUCCUUGGGUCAGCCGAGGUUGCAAGGAGCGGUGGGACAAAACAGAUGCUUCCAUCCACAUCAUUUCCCUCAGAAUCAAUCAUGAUCCCAGUCCUGGCUUAACAUGCAAAGAAGUUAAAAUUAGGACCUUUUUUACUCACUCAUAUCUCAAUUUUGUUUAAAUUAAUGAUUUACAUUUAGUUUUAAAGGAACUAUGUCCACAUAUAAAAAAGUACUUUUAUCAUCAAUUUAUGCCACAGAUGCCAAUAAGGAAAUGUGUAAGUUGUGUAUUUUGCUGCUAGUUUGUUGUUGUUGUGUUAUGCUAACAGCAUUAAAUUCUGGAUGCUUGGCUCAGACAAAGGCACUAGUCCAACCCUCUCUAACAGCAUUGUUUUCAGUAUAUAAAGAACAUAUUUCCUUAAUGAUCUUUGCAUGUUGGUUGUAUAAAUUAAUUCCUUAAAAAGUUUUUGCUUUUAAAAUGGAGAUAAAAAUACAGCCCAAAUCAGAAUAAAAGUGCCAUUUCACACCA